ACCGGUGAGAAGAUCUUGGUACACCAACAUGGUCGCUUAUUGAUUGUUUUCUCUCUCCGAUGGAUGCGAAUAAACGAAAAUCGAAGGUUGCGGGAGAGAGACGCAGCGACGAGGGGA
rnacentral:sRNA from 1 species